rnacentral:lncRNA from 1 species
UACGCGAUAAUAGCUUUCAGUACUAUAUGAAGCUCUGUAUGAUUGUGAAUGUAAAACUUCAUAGUAUUUGACGGGAUGCAACGGGAAAAUGAAUAGAUAGAGUUAUUUUGGUUUGGGAAACUGAAGAAAAAUAAAAGUUAUUUGAGAUAGACUGGAAACAGCUUUUGACAGACAGAAAUCGUAUGAAGACUUAAAACAUUAGGAAAUUGAGUUCUUGUUCUAUUUGGCUAUGUGAAAUGUAACGACCCAAAUUUUAGUGAUAUCGGAAUAGUUGUUAUAGGCCAAUUUUGGGCCCAUUUACAUUAAACCCCCAUAAGCCCAUUUACAUUACAAUACCCGGACCCCAAUCAUCAAACCCAUUAAACCCCUACCCAAUACGAUUAACCCACUUAAACCUCAGCCCGUUUCAUAACCCCAAAACCAACCACUACCCAAACCUUAGCCCAACAACCUAAAUACCCCUAAACCAUUUACAAAUUAAACCCAAUACCCAUUACAAAACACACCCUCAGCCCAAUUAAACCUACCCAACAGAAGCCCAAACCCCUUACAACCCAAUAACAAUUGAAACCCUAGCCACCUGCCCCAUCACCAAGGGUCACCUCAGCCGAAUUAGCCUCCCCACUUGCCCUGACUGUCGGCCAACCACCCUUUGCACCCCAUGUCGUCUGCCACCAUUAUCUGCUCCACCUACAAGAUCAAGCAAACACAAUGUAAAGGCUAUAAAAGCCGAAUGUAAAAACAAAAAGGGGGUUCGGCAACUCUAAAAAAAUAUAUACAAAGAAAAGCAUUCAAUUUUUAAGCAAAAAAGAUAGCGAUUCCAUCAAUAGUCAAGAGAAUAAUCACCAAAUCAAACACAAAAUCAGAGAAACAGAGAACAAAAAUCGAAACCAAAGAACGAAGGUGAUUUUCUUUUUUUUUCUUAUAUUUUCGAAUCGAUUAUUUUCUUUUUUUUUCUUUUCCUACUUAUAACCAUAUACAUAUAUAUUAUAUCAUUUAACUAAAAAAAAUUUACCUUUGCACGGUGGCCGGCGCCGGCGAAGGACGGCGUCCGACAAUCGGCCGGUGACCGGCCCAUGGCCGGAUUCCCUCUCCCUCUCCAUUCUCUCUUCUUUUUUUUCUUUCUCUCCUCACCAAAUGAUUUUUUUUUGUUAAUUUUGGCCUUUAUAUACCCUCCCAAAACGACGUCGUUUUGGGGGCAGCCAUUUAACCCCAAAACGACGUCGUUUUGAUACGACCCGGUCCGACCCGACCCGACCCGACCCACCUCAGGAUCCGCGUGUUUUUGGAAAAGAGGGAAUUUGCGCGUGCGGUCCUUCCGCUUUUUCAAGCUUUUGCAAUCAAGUUUUUUUUAUUUUAAAAUUUACCCCAGGAAGUUGUCGCACUUUUCAAUUUAGACCCCACUGAUAUGUUGUGUUUUGAUGGGAAGGAAUAUUUGUUAUUUUAGUCUUCCUAGGUUAUGCGCGUGUGGCAUUUUGAUCCUUUUUCUUUAUUUCUCUUUAAAAUUGCCCCAAAACUUUGUUUUUGUUCAAAAUUUAGUCAUUUUUUUAAAAUUUUAGUUUAUUUUCGUAUUAUCUUCGUUAUUUUAUUUCAUUUUAAAUAUUAUUUGAUUAUCAUUAUUAUUAUAUUAGUGUAUAUUUUAUUUACAUACGUAUAUGUAUUUAUAUCUAUAUAGUAUUUUUUUAAAAUUAUUUUAUUUUAAUAUUAUUACAUUAUGUUUACUUUUUUGAAUUUCUAUAUUAUUAUUAUUAUUGUUACUUAUUAUUAUUACUGUUAUGUACAUAUUAUUUAUACUAUACUUAAUAUUAUUAUUAUAUUUACUAUUAUUAUUUAUAAAUAUUAGUUUAUAUUUUUAUUAUAUAUGUAUAUAUAUACUCUUUAUGUAUGGUAUUUUUUUAACAUUAUUAUAUUUACUAUUAUAUUUAUUAUCUUUAAUAUAUUAUAUUUUACUUUCCUUACCUUAUUAUUAUGUCAUACUUUCUUUUGUAUUUUUGCUAUUAUUGUUAUUAUUAUUAUUAUUAUUAUUAUUAUUAUUUAUUAUAUUUAUAUAAUAUUAUUAAUAGGUACUUUUAACAUUAUUAUUUCUAAUACGUAAAUGCUAUGUAAGUAUUUUAAUACUAUAUUAUGUAUGUAUUUUUCAACGCCAUAUUAUGUAUAUAUUUUUAAUGCUAUGCGUGCACUUUGUAAUACUAUUAUAAUGUAUAUAUUUUAAUACCAUUAGUUAUACAUUUUUGUACUAUUUCAUAUAUAUAUUUUUUCUAUAUUAUCCUUAUUAUUAGUAUUGAUAUUAGUGCGUUUUAUUAUAUGUAUAUAUACUCUCAAUAUUAUAUUUUUAUAUGUAUACUCUUAAUACCAUAUUAUUCUUAUUAUUUUCGCUAUUAUUACUUACUUUUAAUAUUAUUGUUAUUAUUUACAUAUAUGUAUAGAUAUUUUCAUGUACUUAUUAUAAAUGUAUCAUUUGCUUAUCUUAUUAUGUACAUAUAUUUUUCAAUAUUUAUAUAUAUAUUAUUAUGUAUAUAUACUUUAGCAUUACUAAUUAUGUAUAUUCUUACUAUUUUAUGUAUAUAUUUCAAAUACUAUAUAUAGUAUUUCUGACACUAUUACUAUUUAUACAUAUAUAUAUGUUUUGACGUACAUGUUCUUAAUAUCAUUUUUAUGUAUAUGUAUUCAUUGUUUUAUAUUUCGUAUUUGAUACUAUUAUUACAUUUAAUAUCGCAUACAUCUUUAUCAUUACUGUCACAUGGAUUAUUGGCUUCAAUAUAUUUCUAGCUCUUCCAUUUAUUUAUUUUGAUUAAUUCGCUUUGUAUUAUUUCGAAAAUCUCAUUCAUGUUUUUAUUUAUUUCAAUAAUCAAGGCAACGUACCGAUUUAAUAUUAAGUCAUCGAUUUCAUCGCUAUGUUGGGUGAACAUCAAUCGACUCGUGUUAAAACGGUAUGUCCUUCUCAAAAAAUCAAAAAAAUUGAAAAUUCUUGUGUUUCAAUCGGAUCACGAUUAAAGCUUAUAUUGAACUCGUAUUUUUGAAAAUCAAGAUGACGCGUGUUGUACAAGAUAACAAUUUUGGGCGUCGCGAGGGUGCUAAUACCUUCCUCGCGCGUAACAGACUCCCGAACCCUAAUUUAUCCCUGGCUUUUGACGUAGACCUAAACUCGGCUUUCUUUUUGUUUAAAAAAAAAAGAAAAUCUAAUAGGUGUCCGAUCACACCUAAGAAAAAGGAUCGGUGGCGACUCCCUUUUAAAUCAAACCUCGGUCUUUAAACUUUCAAUCAAACACCCCAAUUAGCGAUCGAAAGCAAAUUUACGUCGCUACAAUAGUAAUUUGAGAUCAUUAAAUCCGAUACUUGAGUUUAGAUAUUAGUAAGUAAAAGUUAAGUGUAGUUUUAGAAAUAAUUUCGAAUUAGUGAAAUUAUAAAUUAAAAGAAAUUUGUAGAUUAAAUAAGAUAAAAACAAUGUAUAGAGACCUCGAAUUCAUAAACCGAGCCAUAAAUAUUUUUAUAAAUAUUUAUAGAGUGUUAGUAAGUUAGUAUUAAAUUUUCGAUAAGAGAAUUAAAUUUUCGUUAAGAGAUUUUAAGGUUUCGAUAGUCAAUUGGGUAAAAAGGACUAAAUUGAAUUAAGUGCAAAAUUGUGAAAUGUGAUUAAAUAGCUCUAGUAAUAAUUAAAGGAGGACUAAAUAGGCAAUUAAACACCUAUUAUUUGGCUGGACGGCAUGAGUGUGCAGAAAAAUAAACAUCAAGUGUGAACAAGGGGCAAAAUUGGAAAUAGGGUAAAAAUUAAAUUGUAAAAUAUGAUAUAUUAGGUAAAAUCUAGAGUUUUCUUCAUUUUCUUCAUCCUCUCCAUUAAAAACACCAUUGAAGGGUACUUUUAAGCUGGUUUCUCAUAUUUUUACUACAUGUAACCUCAAUUCUUGAUUAUUUCUUGUAAACUUUGUGUUUUCGAGACUUUUACAACUAGGUCCACUUGUUUAAUUCAUUAGUUUUUGAUUUCAUGGGUAAUUUUGAAAGUUUCCAUGAAUAAGUGCUGAAAUUUUAUGAUGAUUUAUCAUGGAAUUAAGGUUUUAAUUUCAUUAUAUGAUGAUUUUAUGAAGAGAUUUGCAUAGAAAUUUAUUUUAGGACCUAAUUGUGAAAGUUGUUGGAAUUAGGGUUUUGUGUUGAAUCUUGGAAUGUCAAAGGCUAUGAAGUAGUUUGUAGUGUUUAGAUAAAAUGAUAUUUGAAAGGAAUUAGUUUAAUUGAUGAAUAAAUUGAAUAGGGACUAAAUUGUAAAAACUAAAAAGUUUUGGGCUAAUAGUGUAAUUUCAAAAUUUUAAGGGCAUAAAUUGUGAAAUAGAAUAGAAUCGAAAUAGAUGCUAAUGAAGUAAUGAUUUUAUAAUUAUAGAUAAAGAAAACGAAAUGAAUCGUGGAAAGGAGAAAAUUCAAGAAUAGUCCUUGACUUUCUAUGACUUUUGCAAAUUAGCCCAGGUAAGUUCAUAUGGAAAAUUUAAUGUUUUGUUAUGAAAAUAUUAUGGUUUUUAAGUAUAUUAUUGUAGAUGAAAACUAUUAAUUUGUAAAAAGUAUGAAAUAGUAUUUAAGUAAAAAUACAUAUUAUUUGGAACAAUAGAUUUGAGUGCUUCCAUUUUGUGACCAUAAUGAAUUGACGGAAAAGAUGUGAUAUGUACUUCCGUAUAAGACCAUAGCUGGGCUAUGGCAUCGGUACAAUAUGAUUCGAGUUCCCGUAUAAGACCAUAGUUGGGCUAUGGCAUCGGUGUGAUGUGAUAAUGUGAUUCCGUAUAAGACCAUAUCUGGGAUAUGACAUCGGCAUGUUAUGUGAUCUGUGUAAGACCAUGGCAGGGCUAUGGCUUCAGUGUGUAAUGUGUGACAAUGUGAAAGUCCAUAGUUUACUAUGGAAAUGUGAUAAUGAAUCACUCAAUUCCUUUAUUGUUCCUUAAUUUGACAAUGGAAGUAAAUGAGAAAUGGGCCCAAGGGAGUUAAAUUUGUGAAUAACAAUCUGGAAAUUAUCCAAAUGAGUUUAUUAAUGAAAUUGUGAUUUGCAGGAUGAAUUAGAUAAGCUAAUAGAUAUAUGAUUGUGUAAAAUAUUUGGUAAGAUUUGUGUAAUUAUGCCUAUGAGCUUACUAAGCUUCUAUAAGCUUACUUGUGUAUGUUACUUGUUUUGUAGAUUGACUUAUAUACAUACGGAGGAUUGGAUCUACAUCAAGGGUCACACUAUCCAGAUUUAUUUCGAUAGAUUUUGUUAAACAACUUUUUGAUUUAUAUGGCAUGUAUAGGAGUUGAUUUGAUAAUGUAAUUGUGUGAAUGAUUAAAUAUGUAAAGUAUGUUAAAUGUGAUGUUUUGUGUUUGAAAAUGAAAUAUACAUAUUUUGGAUUGAAAUAAUUGAUUGGUUGGGUUCUAUUAAUGUAUAAUUGUGUUUAGGUACAAGAAAUGGAUAAAAGAAUAUUAUUUGAUCAAGAUUUAUAAGUCAAUGUUUUGGGCAUAUAUUAAUUGUGUUUGUUAUGUGAAAAUAGCUUUAAAAUAGUAAAAAAAUGAGGUUUUCACACAGCCAAGUCACAUGGGCGUGUGCCCAGGCCAUGUGGUAAAGUCAGAAAAGCCCACGAGCAUGCCACAAGGGCAUGUCUCAGGCCACACGGGCGUGUGCCCCUAUUUUUAAGGAAAAUUUUUUAAAGUUCCCAGUUUAGUCCCAAAUCACUUCCUAAGCAUAUUUUGGGCCUCGCAGGUCCAUAUUAAGGACUUAAAGAUGAAAUUUAAGAAAUUUUUAAAUUAAAAUAUAGAUUUAUGACUCGAUUUUAUACGUUUAUUAUUGUUUAAUUCAGGUAGCACCUCGAACCCUGUUCCGGCGUCGGAUAUGGGCGAGGGGUGUUACAUGAAAUUAUAGAAAAAGUUAGACCAGUGAUAUAUUUUUUGGUUUUGCCUCCGAAGUUACAGAAAAGUUAUGAUGUUUUUCAUGUUUGGAUGCUCGGAAGUUAUAGAUCAGAUCUUUUACAUGUUAUCUCGACAAAUGAUAUUGAAAUUUGAACUGAUAUAUUGUAUGGACAAGAAGAACUGAUUGAGAUAUUAGCUUGAAAAGUGAAGUCAUAAUAUUGAGGAAGCAAUACGGGAACCGAAAGAAACAGUGAGAUCACUGAACCCCUACCUCUUUUUAGGCAAAUUUCGAGGACGAAAUUUAUUAAGGGGGGAGAAUUGUAAUGACUCGAACUUUACGGUUAUCGGAAAAGUGUAUUUUCGGGUCUCCAUUUCUAAAAAAUAGACUCGUAAAUAUUUAUUAAAAAUAUUCAUGACGUUAAAUGAGUGGUUAAUUAAAGUUUAAUGAAGUAAAUUAGCUUAAAUUAAGGAUAAUUAGGAAAAAAAGGAUUAAAUUGAAUGAAGUGUGAAAAUUUAAUUGUAGAUUAAAAGAAAAUAAAAAAAGGAUAAUCCGAACCUAGUUAUUAAUUAUUAUAUUUUAUUCAAUGCCUUUAGUGAAUGUUGAAGUGAGAAUUAUAGUGACACCCAGUGUCUCAUCGGCCUGGCUAAAGUAAAAUGGUACCUAGUACCUGAUCGAAUCUAUCCGAAGAAAUAUAGUGACACCCAAUGUCUCAUCGACUCGAGGUCGAAGUAUCCCUGAACUCUUGCAAUCCUAUGACAUGCCAACUAUACUGUUAAUAGGGUUUCCAAUUCAUUUUCCAAUUUCCUAUCAUUAUACACUUCAACAAUCACAUUUAUUAUCAAUUUCAAUAUAACUCAAUUCACUUUUUAAUAACAAAUAUUCAAUUUCACAAUAGUCCCUUAUUUAUAUUAAUUUCAUCACAUACUAAAUUAAUUUAUUUCAAUUAAAAAAAACACAAUACAAAUAAUUCACAUCUUAAUUAUUUAUCAUAACAUUUACCCAAAAUUCAAUUAUCAUAAUUGCACAAUAUCACAUGCACACACAUAUAUAUAUUUAUAAUAUAUAUAAUUCAAUUCAAUUCACUUCAACAUUCACUAAAGGCAUUGAAUAAAAUAUAAUAAUUAAUAACUAGGUUCGGAUUAUAUAAAUACAAACCGUGAUUUCCGAGCUAACCCUCGUUGACUUCAUCUUUUCCUUUCUUAACUGAGGAUGUUCCGGCACCCCGUUAGCUACGGAAUUAAUACAAUUUAUAAUCAUUAAUACAGUACAAUUUUCACAUUGAAUGUUUCAAUUUUUAUUCAACUUUUGUCUAAAUUCCAAUUUAGUCCCAAACUGAGACUAACUUUUAUUCUUCACAUUUAACUCAAUUUUCAUUCAAUUUUCAUUUUAAACUAAUUUCAGCUCUCUAAUUUUAGCAUAAAACCAUAAUUUCGAAAUUCUUUCAAUUCAGUCCCUACUAUUCAAAACUUAUGAAUUACUUUACAAUUCAAUCCUUAUCUCACUUUUAACUUGAAUUUCUAUCAAUUUAAUCCCUAAUUCAUCAUUUUAUUCAACAUAAACAAUAUUUAAAAAUCUAAUAACUUUCAAUAUAUCAAUUUAAUUUCAUCAAAACCUUAUUCCAAAGCUUCUAAAACAUCAAAAUUAAGUAAAAAGGGCUAAAUUGACUUACCUAUUUAAGCUUCAAGCAUCAAACCCCCAAUUUUCCCUUUUCUUCCUUUCUUUCUUUUUCUCCCUUGCUCUCUGUUUCGUUUCAUUCUGUUUCUUUUCUAUCCUUUUUCAUUUCUUUUGUUUUACUUUAUAUAUAUAUAUAUAAUAUGUUAACUU